AUGAAGCCGCGUAUCUUCAAAUCUUUGGCUAAUUAUCUUCGAAGGGAGAAGUUGGUGAAAGAUACCAGAAUUAAAGUCGAAGAGAAAGUAGCAUCAUUUCUGUGGAUGUUAUCUCAUAAUUCUUCAUUUGAAGACCUUCAAGUUCGGUUUGGUCACAGCGGGGAUACUUUCCAUUGGCAAAUGAAGAAUUUCUUUGACAUCAUCCCUAUUCUCUCCAAGCAUUUUUUGAAGCCUCCAAAUCCUAGUCAAGUGCAUCCAAAGAUUCAGUCGGACACGAGAUUCUUUCCUUAUUUUCAGGUUUUUGCUUUGCCAACUUUGAUCCACAUCAAUAACUUACUGUUCAUGUUAUAG
rnacentral:rRNA from 1 species